AGUAACACGUGAGUAACCUGCCCCCAAGAGUGGGAUAGCCCCGGGAAACUGGGAUUAAUACCGCAUAAAAUCGCAAGAUUAAAGCAGCAAUGCGCUUGGGGAUGGGCUCGCGUCCUAUUAGUUAGUUGGUGAGGUAACGGCUCACCAAGGCGAUGACGGGUAGCCGGUCUGAGAGGAUGUCCGGCCACACUGGAACUGAGACACGGUCCAGACACCUACGGGUGGCAGCAGUCGAGAAUCAUUCACAAUGGGGGAAACCCUGAUGGUGCGACGCCGCGUGGGGGAAUGAAGGUCUUCGGAUUGUAAACCCCUGUCAUGUGGGAGCAAAUUAAAAAGAUAGUACCACAAGAGGAAGAGACGGCUAACUCUGUGCCAGCAGCCGCGGUAAUACAGAGGUCUCAAGCGUUGUUCGGAAUCACUGGGCGUAAAGCGUGCGUAGGCGGUUUCGUAAGUCGUGUGUGAAAGGCGGGGGCUCAACCCCCGGACUGCACAUGAUACUGCGAGACUAGAGUAAUGGAGGGGGAACCGGAAUUCUCGGUGUAGCAGUGAAAUGCGUAGAUAUCGAGAGGAACACUCGUGGCGAAGGCGGGUUCCUGGACAUUAACUGACGCUGAGGCACGAAGGCCAGGGGAGCGAAAGGGAUUAGAUACCCCUGUAGUCCUGGCAGUAAACGGUGCACGCUUGGUGUGCGGGGAAUCGACCCCCUGCGUGCCGGAGCUAACGCGUUAAGCGUGCCGCCUGGGGAGUACGGUCGCAAGAUUAAAACUCAAAGAAAUUGACGGGGACCCGCACAAGCAGCGGAGCAUGUGGUUUAAUUCGAAGCAACGCGAAGAACCUUACCAAGACUUGACAUCGUAUGACCGCCAUAGAAAUAUGGAAUCUCUUCGGAGCAUAUAGACAGGUGGUGCAUGGUUGUCGUCAGCUCGUGUCGUGAGAUGUUCGGUUAAGUCC
rnacentral:rRNA from 1 species